rnacentral:lncRNA from 1 species
CUUUAUUGUACAUGUACCAAUUUUUUUGGAUUAAUGUGUUUCAUAAUAAAAACAAAAUCAAACAAUACAGCUAUUUUGAAAAUGAAAAGUAGACUUGUUUCCUUUCCCUGCACAAUAGUAUCCCUGGUGAUUUUUCCUUAUAUUAGCAUUGAAUGGGAAAGUAAACAUGUUACUGAAUUGCAGUGGGCUUCAAUGUGUGCAUAUAUGUACUUGUGUGUUCUCCACUGAGAACAUGAUCUUUAGUAAACAGGAGCAAGAAAGAGUGGAUGAAAGAUGAAAAACCUGCUGAAGCAGAAGUUGCUGGUCCCAAAGAAGGGACCUGGCAGAAAAUGUGCAGCCUCACUUCAUGUCUCUGACAUAAGGUAGGAACCCAAGUUGGAAGGAGUGGUUAGAUCCAAGAAUGUCACCAGUAAUAAAUCUCUUCUUUGGGGGGAUUUUUGCCAUCUGGAGGGCUCUCAACUUCAGCCAGAUAAGAACAGCUCAGUGUAUUGUGCUGGCCCAGUCAACAAGAUCUUCUCCUGGAAACACUGUUUGAUCCUUAGUGUUUCUGAGGAUAAUUUAUUGUUUAUUGCCUUCUGAUCUCUCUGGUGUACUAUCAGUACAUUGUACCCUGUUUCAGUUCUCCCUAUGUUGCCCUGAAUCUAGCAGAGAAAGGGUCAGUUGUGGAGGACAGUGUGUGCUCCUAGUACUUUAUCUUCCUUCUAGAACAUCACCUUUAGGGAGGAGUUCCCACCUUUGGGCAGAUCUGAUCCCAUACGAGUCUGCCAGGCCCACUAGCACAAGGCAAUGACAAGAUUGAUCAUUUAUUAAUUGGUCAUGGUCACGGGAGGACUAAGAUGAUGUGGGAACGAUUCUUAAGGGACCACGCACAUGUGGAUAGCCCCUUCCUUCUGGCCUGGCUUCCUUGCUGCCCCUGGAAUGCUUUGGCUUGCAUUUGGGCUGGUGUUUAUCUGAACAAAGAAAUCUUAGCCUUAUGGACUAAGGAUCAUCUUUGAGCGCAUGCAGAAUGCUAUAAUCAACAAGGAGUUCCCACCUUUGGGCAGAUCAGCAUGCAGCUCACUCCUGCUGAUCACAGGCUCUCUGCCUUGUGCAUCUGUUUCCUGUGAAAAUAUUUUUCUGGUUAUAAGAAGAUUUAGGGGUUCAGGAGUUGAAUCAAGGUAGUUUUCUGUAUUGUAGGAAUAAGCAGAACCUUCACUGCUUUUAUUUUGUAGGUUCCCCAGAGGGUCUACAUUCAGAAUCCCAUGUAGCUCACAUUCACAUGUUUUCUAAUCAAGGCCAUGGGUAUCUCUCCUUAACUGUUACUCAGACAUUGCUACACUGUUGUUUUUCUCAAAAUUAAUGGAUCUACACAACUGUAGAAAUGUGAUAUAUUUUCAUGGCAAGCAACUCUAAUUCUCAUUAAUUUUCUUGCAAAUUUUUAAAAAUGAGAUGAAAAUCUAUGCCCAUGUGAACUCUGUCCUUUCUCCCUUGAGGAAUGCAGAGAAUGACCUCAGCUGAAAGGUCAUGCUAGAUAUUCCCACUGAAUAGAGCUGGUUCAGGCUUAAUAGCUGACAUACUAGGCUCCUACCAGGCCUUUUCACUAACUGGCUUUUUCCUCUAGGUCAGAAAAUCUCCAAUCUGAGAUGGAACAGGCCACAGCGCAGGAUGAGAGCCUCCUACAAAAAAGCUGCUGUAGCAGGAACACUAAGUCUCACAGGAGAGUGACCCACCAUUGCAUACCAAACCUAGCAGCCAAAAAAUUGUUGGUGGGAGGGGCUCUUGACAUUUCCCUCUUCUCCAUGAAUAGACCAUGAUUUUGUUCAAACUGUGUCCAGACAGGAUGAUUGUGACUCUGAUUGCCCUUCCUUUUCACACAGCAGCCCUUGAGAGAACUGAGGAAGCCUAAGAAGCCACAAACGCCUUGGACCCAUGAAGUUGUCCAGCCUUGGAUCAAAGCAUCCUCAGAAUUAUAUACUUGUUGUAUCUGUGAACUCUCCAGUGAGGCAAAUACCAGCUGACUUACAAGUGAUCGAGCCAAAAUCAGAUAUAGACUUAUCUUAUGGAGGACACCAGCAGGAUGUGUCCUGUCUUCCUGGGAUCACAUGGUGGCUCUACAGAGAGGAGGAGGAAGAGGAAGAGGAAGAGGAAGAGAUCG